AGUGAACGCUGGCGGUAGGCCUAACGCAUGCAAGUCGGACGGCAGCACAGUAAGAGCUUGCUCUUACGGGUGGCGAGUGGCGGACGGGUGAGGAAUACAUCGGAAUCUACUUUUUCGUGGGGGAUAACGUAGGGAAACUUACGCUAAUACCGCAUACGACCUACGGGUGAAAGCAGGGGAUCUUCGGACCUUGCGCGAUUGAAUGAGCCGAUGUCGGAUUAGCUAGUUGGCGGGGUAAAGGCCCACCAAGGCGACGAUCCGUAGCUGGUCUGAGAGGAUGAUCAGCCACACUGGAACUGAGACACGGUCCAGACUCCUACGGGAGGCAGCAGUGGGGAAUAUUGGACAAUGGGCGCAAGCCUGAUCCAGCCAUACCGCGUGGGUGAAGAAGGCCUUCGGGUUGUAAAGCCCUUUUGUUGGGAAAGAAAAGCAGCAGGUUAAUACCCCGCUGUUCUGACGGUACCCAAAGAAUAAGCACCGGCUAACUUCGUG
rnacentral:rRNA from 1 species